rnacentral:rRNA from 1 species
AUACGGAGGAUCCGAGCGUUAUCCGGAUUUAUUGGGUUUAAAGGGUGCGCAGGCGGCCAUUUAAGUCAGCGGUUAAAUCGUGGGGCUCAACCCCAUUCUGCCGUUGAUACUGGGUGGCUUGAUUGCGGUCGAGGUUGGCGGAAUUCGUUGUGUAGCGGUGAAAUGCAUAGAUAUGACGAAGAACACCGAUUGCGUAGGCAGCUGACCAGACCGCAAAUGACGCUCAUGCACGAAAGUGCGGGGAUCGAACAGGAUUAGAUACCCUGGUAGUCCGCACAGUAAACGAUGAAUACUUGUUUUCGGCGAUAUAAUGUCGGAGGCAAAGCGAAAGCGAUAAGUAUUCCACCUGGGGAGUACGCUGGCAACGGUGAAACUCAAAGGAAUUGACGGGG